rnacentral:rRNA from 1 species
UACGGAGGGAGCUAGCGUUGUUCGGAAUUACUGGGCGUAAAGCGCACGUAGGCGGCCAUUCAAGUCAGAGGUGAAAGCCCAGGGCUCAACCCUGGAACUGCCUUUGAAACUAGAUGGCUAGAAUCCUGGAGAGGCGAGUGGAAUCCCGAGUGUAGAGGUGAAAUUCGUAGAUAUUCGGAAGAACACCAGUGGCGAAGGCGACUCGCUGGACAGGUAUUGACGCUGAGGUGCGAAAGCGUGGGGAGCAAACAGG